UUCAAGAGUCCAUUCACAAUUGGAUAGCAACUCUGCUCAUUUAGGAGGUUUACCUAGGGUAAGACCAAGAACCUCAUAUCUCAGAUAGCUGAAGACCUGAUCAUCAUGACCUUCUUAAGAUGUGGCUGCUACACUCCACUAACAGGUUAAAGGGAUUCCUCCAUUUUUUUUUUUUUUUUUUUUUUUUUUGCUUAGGAUAGCUUAGGCUAUUUUGGGUCUUUUGUGGUUCCAUAUAAAUUUUAGGAUAUUCUUUUUCUAUUUCCUUGAAAAACUAUUAGUAUUUUGAUAGGUAUUGCAGUGAAUCAGAUAGUUUCAGAAGGAAUGGUACCAGUUCCUCCUUGUACCUCUGGUAGAAUUCGGCUGUGAGUCCAUCUGGUCCUGGACUCUUUUUGGUUGGUAAACUAUUGAUUAUUGCCACAAUUUCAGAUCCUGUUAUUGGUCUAUUCAGAGAUUCAACUUCUUCCUGGUUUAGUCUUGGGAGAGUGUAUGUGUUGAGGAAUUUAUCCAUUUCUUCUAGAUUUUCUAGUUUAUUUGCGCAGAGGUGUUUGUACUAUUCUCUGAUGGUAGUUUGUAUUUCUGUGGGAUCAGUGGUGAUAUCCCCUUUAUCAUUUUUUAUUGCGUCUAUUUGAUUCUUCUCUCUUUUUUUCUUUAUUAGUCUUGCUAGCGGUCUAUCAAUUUUAUUGAUCCUUUCAAAAAACCAGCUCCUGGAUUAAUUUUUUGAAGGGUUUUUUGGUCUCUAUUUCCUUCAGUUCUGCUCUGAUUUUAGUUAUCUCUUGCCUUCUGCUAGCUUUUGAAUGUGUUUGCUCUUGCUUUUCUAGUUCUUUUAAUUGUGAUGUUAGGGUGACAAUUCUGGAUCUUUCCUGCUUUCUCUUGUGGGCAUUUAGUGCUAUAAAUUUCCCCCAACACACUGCUUUGAACGUGUCCCAGAGAUUCUGGUAUGUUGUGUCUUUGUUCUCGUUGAUUUCAAAGAACAUCUUUAUUUCUGCCUUCAUUUCGUUAUGUACCCAGUAGUCAUUCAGGAGCAGGUUGUUCAGUUUCCAUGUAGUUGAGCGGAUUUGAGUGAGUUUCUUAAUCCUGAGUUCUAGUUUGAUUGCACCGUGGUCUGAGAGAUAGUUUG
rnacentral:lncRNA from 10 species